GGGGAUAACUACUGGAAACGGUAGCUAAUACCGCAUAACGUCGCAAGACCAAAGAGGGGGACCUUCGGGCCUCUUGCCAUCGGAUGUGCCCAGAUGGGAUUAGCUUGUUGGUGGGGUAACGGCUCACCAAGGCGACGAUCCCUAGCUGGUCUGAGAGGAUGACCAGCCACACUGGAACUGAGACACGGUCCAGACUCCUACGGGAGGCAGCAGUGGGGAAUAUUGCACAAUGGGCGCAAGCCUGAUGCAGCCAUGCCGCGUGUAUGAAGAAGGCCUUCGGGUUGUAAAGUACUUUCAGCGGGGAGGAAGGGAGUAAAGUUAAUACCUUUGCUCAUUGACGUUACCCGCAGAAGAAGCACCGGCUAACUCCGUGCCAGCAGCCGCGGUAAUACGGAGGGUGCAAGCGUUAAUCGGAAUUACUGGGCGUAAAGCGCACGCAGGCGGCUUGUUAAGUCAGAUGUGAAAUCCCCGGGCUCAACCUGGGAACUGCAUCUGAUACUGGCAAGCUUGAGUCUCGUAGAGGGGGGUAGAAUUCCAGGUGUAGCGGUGAAAUGCGUAGAGAUCUGGAGGAAUACCGGUGGCGAAGGCAGCCCCCUGGACGAAGACUGACGCUCAGGUGCGAAAGCGUGGGGAGCAAACAGGAUUAGAUACCCU
rnacentral:rRNA from 1 species